AUUGAACGCUGGCGGCAUGCCUUACACAUGCAAGUCGAACGGUAACAGGUCUUCGGAUGCUGACGAGUGGCGAACGGGUGGGUAAUACAUCGGAACGUGCCCGAUCGUGGGGGAUAACGAGGCGAAAGCUUUGCUAAUACCGCAUACGAUCUACGGAUGAAAGCGGGGGAUCUUCGGACCUCGCGCGGACGGAGCGGCCGAUGGCAGAUUAGGUAGUUGGUGGGAUAAAAGCUUACCAAGCCGACGAUCUGUAGCUGGUCUGAGAGGAUGAUCAGCCACACUGGGACUGAGACACGGCCCAGACUCCUACGGGAGGCAGCAGUGGGGAAUUUUGGACAAUGGGCGAAAGCCUGAUCCAGCCAUGCCGCGUGCAGGAUGAAGGCCUUCGGGUUGUAAACUGCUUUUGUACGGAACGAAAAGCCUCUUUCUAAUAAAGAGGGGUCAUGACGGUACCGUAAGAAUAAGCACCGGCUAACUACGUG
rnacentral:rRNA from 1 species